GUGGGAUUUUAUUGUUUUCAAUAAUAGCAAAUCAAUAAAGACAAUGUAUGUACAUGUAAUUCAUCUUCUUUUAGAUCUAAUAUAAUUAAUUACAAACACUAUAAUGGAGACGAGGAUAGCUGACCCUGCCACUACAAGAGGUGGACAUAGCUUAGAUCCUUUUGAAACAGCUUUCUCAGUUUUAGUUGCUACUUCGCUGAGAUCUUUCUUUUUCUCUACUUCUGACAAUUCUUUCUUCUCCACUUGUUUUUCUUCCGGUUGUUUUAUUUGAUCACUUGCUUCUUCUUUGAUUUCACUUCCUAUUCCAGGACUUUCUUCUUUUCCUUGGUUUUCAUCUUUCUUUGGUUGGUUUGCAGGCUGCAUUGUUUCAGGUUGUUUCAUUUCUUGACUAGGCACAGGUUGGUAUGGUUCUUGAACCUUUGUAUCGGGUUCCUUCUUUUCUGGUUCUUUUGGCAUUUCACCUCCCACUGCUUCUGUUGCCUGCUCUUGUUUAGAUUGAGUUGACAGAUUUUGCUCUUCUGCUUGUUGAGUUGCUUUAUCCAUGACAGCUUCUGUCAAUUCUGCGCUUUCUUUUCCAUGAACUUUUUCUUCUUCUACAAUCUCUGCCUCUGGAAUUUCCUGUUGCUGCGCUUCUCUCUGAGUUUCCGAGGCUGCAGUUGGUUCCUUUUUCUCCUGUUCAGCUUCUUCAGGUUCCACUGUUGGAGUUUCUGGAUGAGUAGCUAUUGCAGCAGGAGGUUUUGCCAUUUCAGGAGGGGCUUCUUUUGAUUCUCUUUGAGCCUCUGGUUUCUCUUGUAAUUUCAUGUUAAUAGAUCUUUCAGGCACUGCUGGUUCAGCCAAAUCUUGCGUUUCCCUGAAUUCGUCUUCAACAAACUUUUCUUCCACAACCCUUUCAAUCUCUUGCUUGUUUUCAAUUUUUGGCUCUUCAGAUUUUUCCUGUAGCAUCCCUCCACUACUGUCUCUUUCAGAAAACACUUGAGCUACCUCUUUUGUUGCCUCAAUCUGUCCUUUAUCAACAACCUGAUCACCUUCUUCUCUUUCUGAUUUUGGUUCCUCUUUAUCUUUUUCUUCAGUAGGAACUUCAUCAGCUAAAACUUGUGGCAUUUCAAGUUUCGUUCUUUCAAUCUCUUUCUGCACAACAUGCUCAAUUUCUUCCUUUUGCUCAAUCUUGGACUCUUUCUUUUCUCCUUCAGGAGGCUUAUCAAACUUCUCUUCCUUCACUUCUUCAAUAUUCAGCCCGCGCAUUCCUUUCUCCAAUUUGGGCAUAAUAAGUGUCAAGCUUGACUCUUCAUCAUUGAACUUGGCCUUGAUUCGAUCUAAAACAAUCCCAUCAGGAAUUCGAAAAACCUUGUUAAAUGCCCUUAACUCCACAUCUUUCUUGUGCAUAAUCCACCCAGAUAACACCAUCUCCUGGACUGCCCUCUUCCCACUGACCGCAAUCUGAUUCCCAUCUUCAUUGAUCUUGAUGUCAAUAUUCUCUCUUCUAAAACCUUUGAGAUGUGCGAUAAGAAUGAACUUUGUCUCAGUUUCUCUAGACAAGAAGAGAGGACCAGUGUGAUCUUUAGCAAUCCGAAGCUCGGUAAGAGAAGUGAUAUCAUCCCUGUUGUGGGUGAUCUUGAGUCCCAAUUCCAGCUCCAUAGCUAUCUUCUUCCUCUUUUCCUUUUUCAGAAAACAGAAAUGAGAUUGAG
rnacentral:misc_RNA from 1 species